CAAUCAUGAGAGACAACUUACUGGAACCCUGGUUGGAGAUGCCGGCUAUCCGUGCUUGCCAUUUCUGCUGACUCCACUGGCAAAUCCAAUUACAGAUGCUCAACAAAGGUAUAACAACGUACAAAGCAGAACAAGGCAAAUUGUUGAAAGAACAUUUGGAGUUUGGAAGCGACGUUUUCCUUGCCUAUCCCGAGGUUUGGGAACCAAAUUGUUGUGCUCUACCACAAUUGUUGUAGCUUGUGCCGUACUACACAAUUUAUCACUAACAUUGGAUAAUGCUGUUCCGGAAGAUAAUCGCAUCGAAGAAGAAGAAGCGGAUGAAUUGCCACCUCAAGCACCGCAUUGGCAGUCUGGAGAGGGUUUUGCAAUACACGAAGCUCUAAUCGAACGGUUAUUCAUUUAAUCAAAAUAUAUGUAUAUCAAGUUAAUUUAAUUGUAAAGACUAAUUGAUUUUAGAAUGAAUAUACUCCAAAUAUUUAAUAAAAUUGAAUUUAAUUUGUACAAACAGUUAACAUUAGAAUACAUAUUUUACUCAUAA